rnacentral:rRNA from 1 species
AGAGAUGUGUGAUGACGCAUAUCAAUAAGCGGAGGAAAAGAAACUAACAAGGAUUCCCUUAGUAACGGCGAGUGAAGCGGGAAGAGCUCAAAUUUGAAAUCUUCAAGGUUCUACCUUGACGAAUUGUAGUUUAAAGAAGUGUUUUCUGUUAGUGGAGUGGCAAAAGUUCUUUGGAAUAGGACAUCAUAGAGGGUGAGAAUCCCGUAUUUGGUCAUUCCUUCUAGCUUUGUGAUACACUUUCAACGAGUCGGAUUGUUUGGGAAUGCAGUCCAAAAUGGGUGGUAAAUUUCAUCUAAAGCUAAAUACUGGCGAGAGACCGAUAGCGAACAAGUACCGUGAGGGAAAGAUGAAAAGAACUUUGAAAAGAGAGUUAAACAGGUACGUGAAAUUGUCAAAAGGGAAGCGUUUGACACCAGUGUUGUUUUUCCGAAAAUCAAUUACGAAUGUUUUAUUUUUGAGGAGUUAUGACUUCAUCGGCUUGCUUCUCUCUUUAUGAACUUUCUUAAUGCACUUUUCGGUUAACAAGUCAACAUCAAUUUCUUUUGUUGUAAAAGAGUAUGAGGAAGGUGGCUUGCUCUUCGGCGCAAGUGUUUAUAGCCUUGUACCUCUGCAAUCGGAGAGAUUGAGGUCUGCAGCGUAGAUCCUUCGGGGUUAGAUACAUUUGUGCUAAGCUAUAGCCUUGUAUAGACAACUUGUUGACUAUGCUCAGUCAUGUAGCUUACUCGCUUAUGCUAUUUUACCUACGCUUAGGAUGUUGAAGAUGUAGCACAUCAU